rnacentral:rRNA from 1 species
AGAAUCAACGCUGGCGGCGUGCCUAACACAUGCAAGUCGAACGAGAAAGUGGGAGCAAUCCCACGAGUAAAGUGGCGCACGGGUGAGUAACACGUGACUAACCUACCCUUGAGUGGGGGGAUAACCUAGGGAAACCUGGGCUAAUACCGCAUAAUACCUACGGGUCAAAGGAGCAAUUCGCUUAAGGAGGGGGUCGCGGCAGAUUAGUUAGUUGGCGGGGUAAUGGCCCACCAAGACAGUGAUCUGUAUCCGGCCUGAGAGGGCGCACGGACACACUGGAACUGAAACACGGUCCAGACUCCUACGGGAGGCAGCAGUGGGGAAUUUGCGCAAUGGGGGAAACCCUGACGCAGCAACGCCGCGUGGAGGAUGAAGCCCCUUGGGGCGUAAACUCCUUUCGAUCGGGAAGAUAAUGACGGUACCGGAAGAAGAAGCCCGGCUAACUUCGCGCCAGCAGCCGC